GGGUGCCUCCCUUUGUCCGUCCGUCUGUCCAGGCUGGGUGUCCCUUGGGUGUCUCCGUCCGUCUGUCUGGACGAGGCACUGGGUGUCCUUUGGGUGACUCCAUCCGUCCGUCUGUCUGUCCAUCUGUCUGUCCAGGCAGGGUGCUGGGCGUCCCUUGGGUGCCUCUGUCUGUCUGUCUGUCCAUCCAUCUGUCUGUCUGGGCAGGGUGCUGGGCGUCCCUUGGGUGCCUCUGUCUGUCUGUCUGUCCAGGCAGGGCACUGGGUGUCCUUUGGGUGACUCUGUCCGUCUGUCUGUCCAGAUAUGGUGCUGGGUGUCCCUCGGGUGCUUCUGUCUGUCUGUCCAGGCAGGGCAAUGGGUGUCCUUGGGUGCCUCCGUCUGUCUGUCUGGACACAGUGCUGGGUGUCCCUUGGGUGCCUCUGUCUGUCUGUCUGUCCAGAUAUGGUGCCGGGCAUCCCUUUGGUGCAUCCGUCUGUCUGUCUGUCCAUCUGUCUGUCCAGGCAGGGUGCUGGGUGUCCCUUGGGUGCCUCCCUCUGUCCGUCCGUCUGUCCGUCCAGACGCACCCUUGGGUGCCCUCCCGUCCGUCUGUCCAUCCAGGUGGGGGCUCCCCGGGCUUCUCCAUCCGUCCGUCUGUCCAUCCACAGUCACCUCCAGGCACCCCCAGCCCUUGGGGCCUGUCCGUCUGUCUGUCCAUCCAUCCAUCUGUCCGUCCGUGCGCCCCCCCCCAAAAUUUCACCCUCUCCUCUCCCCGCAGCCGGGGGGGCAGCGCCCGCGCCCCCCACGCCAGGACCCCCGGGGCCGGCAGCAGCUCGGACGACGACGCCCCCCCCUCUCAGGGGGGGGGCAAAAGCUGCGCCUCCUGCAAGACCCAGCGCACCCCCCUGUGGAGGGCGGCCGAGAACGGGACCCCCCUGUGCAACGCC
rnacentral:lncRNA from 1 species